rnacentral:rRNA from 1 species
GGACCCGCACAAGUAGUGGAGCAUGUGGUUUAAUUCGAAGAUACGCGCAGAACCUUACCAACACUUGACAUGUUCGUCGCGACUUUAAGAGAUUAAAGUUUUCGGUUCGGCCGGACGAAACACAGGUGCUGCAUGGCUGUCGUCAGCUCGUGUCGUGAGAUGUUGGGUUAAGUCCCGCAACGAGCGCAACCCUCACUUUUAGUUGCCAUCAUUAAGUUGGGUACUCUGAAAGAACUGCCAGUGAUAAGCUGGAGGAAGGUGGGGAUGACGUCAAGUCCUCAUGGCCCUUACGUGUUGGGCUACACACGUGCUACAAUGGUAUCUACAACAGGAAGCAAAACCGCGAGGUUAAGCAAAUCCUUAAAAGAUACCUCAGUUCGGAUUGCACUCUGCAACUCGAGUGCAUGAAGCUGGAAUU